rnacentral:rRNA from 1 species
AGAGUUUGAUCAUGGCUCAGAUUGAACGCUGGCGGCAGGCCUAACACAUGCAAGUCGAGCGGAUGAAAGGAGCUUGCUCCUGGAUUCAGCGGCGGACGGGUGAGUAAUGCCUAGGAAUCUGCCUGGUAGUGGGGGACAACGUUUCGAAAGGAACGCUAAUACCGCAUACGUCCUACGGGAGAAAGCAGGGGACCUUCGGGCCUUGCGCUAUCAGAUGAGCCUAGGUCGGGAUUAGCUAGUUGGUGAGGUAAUGGCUCACCCAAGGCGACGAUCCGUAACUGGUCUGAGAGGAUGAUCAGUCACACUGGAACUGAGACACGGUCCCAGACUCCUACGGGAGGCAGCAGUGGGGAAUAUUGGACAAUGGGCGAAAGCCUGAUCCAGCCAUGCCGCGUGUGUGAAGAAGGUCUUCGGAUUGUAAAGCACUUUAAGUUGGGAGGAAGGGCAGUAAAUUAAUACUUUGCUGUUUUGACGUUACCGACAGAAUAAGCACCGGCUAACUCUGUGCCAGCAGCCGCGGUAAUACAGAGGGUGCAAGCGUUAAUCGGAAUUACUGGGCGUAAAGCGCGCGUAGGUGGUUUGUUAAGUUGGAUGUGAAAUCCCCGGGCUCAACCUGGGAACUGCAUCCAAAACUGGCAAGCUAGAGUAUGGUAGAGGGUGGUGGAAUUUCCUGUGUAGCGGUGAAAUGCGUAGAUAUAGGAAGGAACACCAGUGGCGAAGGCGACCACCUGGACUGAUACUGACACUGAGGUGCGAAAGCGUGGGGAGCAAACAGGAUUAGAUACCCUAGUAGUCC